UCGCCUGUUUAUCAAAAACAMGUCUAUAUGAAGAUAAAUAUAGUUUAACCUGCCCACUGAUUUAAAUUAAAGGGUCCUUAAUAAAGAUUAUAAGAGUAAGAUACUUUAGUGAUAACAGCGUUAUUUUUUCUGAGAGUUCUUAUCGAAGAAAAAGUUUGCRACCUCGAUGUUGAAUUAAAAUUUCUUUAUAGUGCAGAAGUUAUAAAAGAAAGUCUGUUCGACUUUUAAUUUUUUACAUGAUUUGAGUUCAGACCGGCGUGAGCCAGGUUGGUUUCUAUCU
rnacentral:rRNA from 1 species